rnacentral:rRNA from 1 species
UACGUAGGGGGCAGGCGUUGUCCGGAUUUAUUGGGUGUAAAGAGCGUGUAGGCGGUUUGGUAGGUCCGCUGUGAAAACUCGAGGCUCAACCUCGAGACGCCGGUGGAAACCAUCAGACUAGAGUCCGGAAGAGGAGAGUGGAAUUCCUGGUGUAGCGGUGAAAUGCGCAGAUAUCAGGAGGAACACCGGUGGCGAAGGCGGGUCUCUGGGCCGUUACUGACGCUGAGGAGCGAAAGCGUGGGGAGCGAACAGG